UACGUAGGUGGCAAGCGUUGCCCGGAUUUACUGGGCGUAAAGAGCGCGCAGGCGGUCGCUCAAGUCGCGUGUGAAAGCCCCCGGCUCAACUGGGGAGGGUCACGCGAUACUGAUCGACUCGAAGGCAGGAGAGGGUAGUGGAAUUCCCGGUGUAGUGGUGAAAUGCGUAGAUAUCGGGAGGAACACCAGUGGCGAAGGCGACUACCUGGCCUGUUUCUUGACGCUGAGGCGCGAAAGCUAGGGGAGCAAACGGG
rnacentral:rRNA from 1 species